rfam:Caedibacter varicaedens DNA, contig: Cva_contig000002.
GCCGGAUUAGCUCAGCUGGUAGAGCAACUGAUUUGUAAUCAGUAGGUCGUUGGUUCGAAUCCGACAUCCGGCA